rnacentral:rRNA from 1 species
UACGAAGGGGGCUAGCGUUGCUCGGAAUCACUGGGCGUAAAGGGUGCGUAGGCGGGUCUUUAAGUCAGGGGGGAAAUCCUGGAGCUCAACUCCAGAACUGCCUUUGAUACUGAAGAUCUUGAGUCCGGGAGAGGUGAGUGGAACUGCGAGUGUAGAGGUGAAAUUCGUAGAUAUUCGCAAGAACACCAGUGGCGAAGGCGGCUCACUGGCCCGGUACUGACGCUGAGGCACGAAAGCGUGGGGAGCAAACAGG